GGCUUUUGCAAGAAUGAUGAUUCAAUUAGAUGUGUGAAAAUGAGCUUAAAAACUCCUUUUUUGAACUCAAAACAUUUGAGGCAUUUGGAACUGUCUGACUUGCUUGCC